UACUGAAGUUGCAUGGAGCUGGAAGCUCGUUCGAUGGUACCAUGCAUUAGUAGCCUUGGCUCCAGUAUGAGCUUAACUAGCCCUUGAUGUUGGAGGCCUCUCUUGGUCAUUCUUUCAAAUGGGCCUUGGAAUUUCGCCUCCUAUCCUGAUAGCACCAUUGGCUUCAUGAUUUUAACUAGCAGUUUUUGCAGAAAGGCAGCCGUUAUAGUUUGGGGUAAAGGAUUUAAAAAGUUUACUAAUUUCCAGAUUAUUUGAGAGAAGAAAUGAGUGGAUAGCCUUUGCUCACAUGACUCGAGCCCCAUCAGUGCAGCACCCCAAACUUCGCAGUCCAAGCUCACUCUGCCAAGCAGUGUGCUGUUGCUCCUGCUGCUGCAUUUGAUGGACAGUUAUUGAAAGAAAUCAGGACUAGGAUCUUUCCGCCCUUUUAAAUGCUUCUAAUAUGAACCGCUCUCAAGGCAAGGAACCUCAUCAAAGGAUGCACAUUCCUGCCCCACAAAGGCUUCAGAUGUUCUGCAGCACAUGUGCCGAGGACAGGAUAUUGUGUCUGUAUCGCCAUAUGUGCAACCCCGUGUGGUGUUACAUUUGGCAAGGACGAUCUCUAAUAAAGUCUAACAACACAGGACGUUUGUCAACAGCUUGGGAGGAUAAUGAGAUCCACAAAUCCAGCAAGCAUGGGGAACAAAGCUGCAUCCAUCUGUGGUGAGACAGACUUUCACUUCUUUCUUUGGCAACCUCUUGGCUAUCAAAGCUAUGAUGUUCCUCCAUAUUUCUCCAAGCAUGCCAACCUCCACCAAGCAUGUGGGCCUGGAGAAGUGACAGGAGCAAGGUUUGCUCAGCUUUAUGAGGGAAAGGGAAUGGAUGUGGCCUGGGCUUGCCAAUUUUGGCAACUACCGCACUUGCAAUUCUGCCCCAAACUUGGAUGUCCAUUUUACUUGCAGCUGAUUCCAUCUUUUGCCAGCCCUCUAAAGAGAAACACACUAGUGCAUAGCAAAAAUAGCUAAGUACCAUCCCAGUUUCAAGAUUUCCACGGAUGAAGAAUAUUUUAUUUCCAAUGAGUUUGUCUGAGCGUGACGUUAUUGAAUUUGGCUCCCAACAGCUCCUUGCUAAGUGGCUGGCAGC